rnacentral:rRNA from 1 species
CUGCUAUCGGAUUGAUACUAAGCCAUGCGAGUCAUUGCAGUAAUGCAAGGCAGACGGCUCAGUAACGCGUAGUCAACCUACCCUAUGGACGGGAAUAACCUCGGGAAACUGAGUAUAAUGCCCGAUAGAACACUAUUCCUGGAAUGGUUUGUGUUCCAAAUGAUUUAUCGCCGUAGGAUGGGACUGCGGCCUAUCAGUUUGUUGGUGAGGUAAUGGCCCACCAAGACUAUUACAGGUACGGGCUCUGAGAGGAGUAGCCCGGAGAUGGGUACUGAGACACGGACCCAGGCCCUAUGGGGCGCAGCAGGCGAGAAAACUUUGCAAUGUGCGAAAGCACGACAAGGUUAAUCCGAGUGGUUUGUGCUAAACGAACCUUUUGACAGUCCUAGAAACACUGUUGAAUAAGGGGUGGGCAAGUUCUGGUGUCAGCCGCCGCGGUAAAACCAGCACCUCAAGUGGUCAGGAUGAUUAUUGGGCCUAAAGCAUCCGUAGCCGGCUCUGUAAGUUUUCGGUUAAAUCUGUACGCUCAACGUACAGGCUGCCGGGAAUACUGCAGAGCUAGGGAGUGGGAGAGGUAGACGGUACUCGGUAGGAAGGGGUAAAAUCCUUUGAUCUAUUGAUGACCACCUGUGGCGAAGGCGGUCUACCAGAACACGUCCGACGGUGAGGGAUGAAAGCUGGGGUAGCAAACCGGAUUAGAUACCCGGGUAGUCCCAGCUGUAAACUAUGCAAACUCAGUGAUGCAUUGGCUUGUGGCCAAUGCAGUGCUGCAGGGAAGCCGUUAAGUUUGCCGCCUGGGAAGUACGUACGCAAGUAUGAAACUUAAAGGAAUUGGCGGGGGAGCACCACAAGGGGUGAAGCCUGCGG